CAAGCGUUGUUCGGAAUUACUGGGCGUAAAGGGCUCGUAGGUGGCCAACUAAGUCAGACGUGAAAUCCCUCAGCUUAACUGGGGAACUGCGUCUGAUACUGGAUGGCUUGAGUUUGGGAGAGGGAUGCGGAAUUCCAGGUGUAGCGGUGAAAUGCGUAGAUAUCUGGAGGAACACCGGUGGCGAAGGCGGCAUCCUGGACCAACACUGACACUGAGGAGCGAAAGCCAGGGGAGCAAACGGG
rnacentral:rRNA from 1 species